UUGCUAGUCCGGAUUAACAUCUCUCUAGC
rnacentral:sRNA from 1 species